GUUUGAACACUAAAACAAUCAAGACAUUAAAAUUUCAAAAGCCAUUAAUAGGACAAUGCUGAAUGAAGUAUCAGAAGGGUGUAAAGAACUAACAAAAUAAAGCACACAACUAGUAUACUAUAACAACGUACAGGUACCUCACACAAGCAAACGAGGAGAGAAUACUCAAUAAAAUAAAGAAAAAUACUAUCUCUUAGCCGCACAGAAUUCUCACCAGCUUGCAAGUCUUUCUCUCCUCCAACCACUCAUUGAAGUAGUAUAGAAAAACGAGUCAAUGUCCCUUCUAUACUUGUGCAUAGUUGGCCACAGAAGUCACUUUUCUUAGGUCCAUUUGCGAGUAACAGCUGGAUGUGGAAAAUUACAAGUUUAAAAGAUGGAUGGCUGCUAAUGCUUUUGGUUGAAACUGACUCCUAGCGUGGCUUUUAAUGCUACAAUUGCUGGCUUAGCAGUAGAAAAUGGCUUAACAACUAGCUUUAUUAUAAUUCAAAUUAGUUUUUUGCUUGUGUGUUGACUCUCAACACUCCCCCCUCAACGAUGAUUCUCUACUGAUGCUAACCAUGUCACUGAUCAUGACAUCACCAAUCAACUACAGGAUGUCUCCGACUUUGGUUCAGAAGUAGUUACUUGGUGUAGUAAGAGACAAACAAUAGCUUCAAUGUCAGACAAACAAUGAAAGCAGAAUAUAGCGCAGCAGUAAUGGCAGCACAAGGUCUUUAUCAACUGGUUGAUAUGCAAUCAUUGCUGGCUUGGCAGUAGAAAAUGGCUUAACAACUAGCUUUAUUAUAAUUCAAAUUAGUUUUUUGCUUGGGUGUUGAGAGUCAACACCCCCCUGAACUACAGUUCUCUACUGAUGCUAACUAUGUCACCGAUCACGGCAUCACCAAUACGGGAUGUCUUCAAAUUUGGUUCAGAAGUAGUUAAUUGGUGUAGUAAGAGAAAAACAAUAGCUUCAUUGUCAAACAAAAAAUGAAAACCAAAUAUAGAGAAGCAGUAAUGGCAGCACAAGAAGUCUGGUUAAAUCAAUUGUUGAAAGGUCUUCACCAGCUGGUUGAUUAUACAAUUCCAAGACACUGCAGAAUUGGGCAGCAAUUCAUUUGGCAAAGAAUCCAGUAUUUCAUGUGAGAUGAUUGUGGAAGUGCAUUAUCACUUUUUGAGAGAGAAUAUCACGUGGAAAGUUAGAACAGCAACAAAUUAGCAUGGAGGACUCAGUAACUGAUUAUUCACUAACGGAUUUGAUGGAUAACAAUUUUGCAGAGUUUCAAUUGCAACUUGGUUUGCCAACAAGAGAGCUGUCGUCUAGGGAAAAUAUCGGGAGCCAACACUGUCUCUAAGCCAAAAGAUGCAAAAUUCAAUUUCAACUUAAAUGUAGCUAGUUGUGAAAACAUUUUUCAUACUGCAUAAGCCAGCCAUGAUAGUAAACAAAGUCAACUACGAAGCCAAAGUUGCAAUCAACCACACAUCACCUGAGAGUGGAAUUUCUACUAUUCAUAUCCAGCUCAUGCUAGCAACCAAUGUCAAAGAGUGGGCACUUGGUAAGCAAACUAUGGAAGUAU